rnacentral:rRNA from 1 species
UCCUACGGGAGGCAGCAGUGGGGAAUAUUGGACAGUGGGCGAAAGCCUGAUCCAGCCAUGCCGCGUGUGUGAAGAAGGUCUUCGGAUUGUAAAACACUUUAAGUUGGGAGGAAGGGUUGUAGAUUAAUACUCUGCAGCUUUGACGUUACCGACAGAAUAAGCACCGGCUAACUCCGUGCCAGCAGCCGCGGUA